GUGGAUUAGAUACCCGGGUAGUCCACGCCGUAAACGAUGAUAACUAGCUGUCCGGGCUCAUGGAGUCUGGGUGGCGCAGCUAACGCAUUAAGUUAUCCGCCUGGGGAGUACGGUCGCAAGAUUAAAACUCAAAGGAAUUGACGGGGGCCUGCACAAGCGGUGGAGCAUGUGGUUUAAUUCGAAGCAACGCGCAGAACCUUACCAGCGUUUGACAUCCUCAUCGCGAUUUCCAGAGAUGGAUUUCUUCAGUUCGGCUGGAUGAGUGACAGGUGCUGCAUGGUCGUCGCCAACU
rnacentral:rRNA from 1 species